UCGCUUCUUCUUCUUCUUCUUCGUCUUCUUCAGUUUC
rnacentral:sRNA from 1 species